GUUUUUAUUAUUAGAGCCCUCACAGCUAAUACCUUCGCAGACAAGGUGAAGGAGAUGAUGAGCCACUAUUUUGUUUGGGUUUUUCUAGUGCUUUUUUUUUCCAAUUUAUAAUGACUAUAGAACUUAGCAGUUAACCAUCUGUAUGGUAUGAAGCCAUUGUAAACUCCUCGACUUCUGUUUAUCAUGCAUGAUUCAUUGCUCAUUUGGAUCUAUGUUCAAUCAUUGAUUCAAGCUUUGUUAUUAUUGAGGCUUUUUUUUUCAGACUUGUCCAUAUUUUGUAUUCCCAUGUGAUUGCUUAAAUUGCAAGUCAUUUUGUUUUCUACAUUUCUUGCUUAUAUUUGGAGCAGUACUUUUCCAGUGCUAUUUAAGGAGAGAUUAUAUGUCAUGUUUCUGUUUAGUGCAUUUCUUGAUGCUUGUUUGAUUUCUUGAAUGUGUGCAAUAAUAUUUGUGUCAGCUGACCUCUUUGUUGUUGCUAUGUGAUAAGGCUCUAUUACAUUUCCUUGAUCCAGAGAAAUUCAAGAAUAAAGAUGAUUUUGUUGAAAAAUAUAAGAAUCUAAGCUCCUUCAAUGACAUUGAGCUUGCUAAUCUUCACAAGGAAUUGAGGUCUCACAUUCUUCGAAGAGUUAUCAAGGAUGUAGAGAAGUCUUUGCCUCCAAAAAUUGAGCAUAUCCUCCAGGUUAAAAUGUCUCCCCUUCAGAAACAGUAUUACAAGUGGAUUUUAGAACGUAACUUUCACAACCUAAACAAAGGAGUUUGCUGAAAUCAGGU